GGGCCCGUAGUCUAAUGGUAGAAUAGACCCUUGGCUAGGGUCAGGUUCGGGUUCGACUCCCGACGGGUCCA
rnacentral:tRNA from 1 species